rnacentral:rRNA from 1 species
GAUGAACGCUGGCGGCGUGCCUAAUACAUGCAAGUCGAGCGAACGGACGAUAAGCUUGCUUCUCUGAUGUUAGCGGCGGACGGGUGAGUAACACGUGGAUAACCUACCUAUAAGACUGGGAUAACUUCGGGAAACCGGAGCUAAUACCGUAUAAUAUUUUGAACCGCAUGGUUCAAAAGUGAAAGACGGUCUUGCUGUCACUUAUAGAUGGAUCCGCGCUGCAUUAGCUAGUUGGUAAGGUAACGGCUUACCAAGGCAACGAUGCAUAGCCGACCUGAGAGGGUGAUCGGCCACACUGGAACUGAGACACGGUCCAGACUCCUACGGGAGGCAGCAGUAGGGAAUCUUCCGCAAUGGGCGAAAGCCUGACGGGGCAACGCCGCGUGAGUGAUGAAGGUCUUCGGAUCGUAAAACCCUGUUAUUAGGGAAGAACAUAUGUGUAAGUAACUGUGCACAUCUUGACGGUACCUAAUCAGAAAGCCACGGCUAACUACGUG